rnacentral:lncRNA from 1 species
UGGCGUAUGAAUAUGAGUGUAUGUUUGAGAAUGGAAGUGAACUGGAGGCAAACCUUUAUGAGAAUUCUGUAUGAUGUGAAUCUGCAGGGGAAAAAAAAUGUAUUGUAAUCAAGAGCUUUUAUUGAUAACAAGAGGUAAGAUUAUAAAAUCUUGAUAUAAGUGAAAGGUUGGACCUUUAAAGAGGAUUACAACUCUCUUUGCUAUUUUGCAGGAGGUAGCAGAUUUGAGCUGUGAUGAAUUGGUUCGAUAUUUUGCAGAUAUGAGUUGUGUGUUGGGUGAAGAGUUAAGCUGCUUUGUGCGUGAUCGAAUGGGCGAGAAUGGCUGAAAUUUAUAGAGGAAAUUGGCAGGAAGAAGAAGACGUGGAAGACCCAUUUCCAUUGAAUUAAUAGAAGAAGAUAUGUAUCAAUUUCCAUCCAAGUUUCUGCAUUUCUCACCUUAUAAAUAUGUGUAACUGUAGCAAACUCUGCUGCUCAAGUGACUGUUUUCAAUACUUAUGCUUCUUGUAAAAUAUAUAUAUAUAUAUGCCUCUAAAACGUAGCAAUAGGAUAUGUAUCUGCUUCGGCUGGCUUGAUUGAAAGAAUCGGGCCUUAUAAACAAAAAUAAAUAAAUCCAGUCCAAUAAAGACUUAUAAAUAAUAUUCUAAAUUCAAAUAUUCUCAUGUAAUCUUAUUAAGAAAAAUCGGGGUAUUACAACCCAUGCCCCUUAAAAAUUUCGUCCUCGAAAUUUAAAUACCUUGGCUAAUAAACUAGACUUUCAACUCUCGCCUUCUUUUCUCAUGCGUAGUGAUUCUAUAAAAGCUAGAAUAAAUCUACUUGCCCCAUAAAAUUUGAUAUUUCAAUCGAAUAUCCCCAUCAAUCUCUUCUCGUUUCUUAAAUCCCAAAACCCAUCUUGUUUCUUUUUCUAUAGCAUCCAGGGAUAUACUUUUCAUAUAGUCUUUCUUUAAAAUCAUUCCACCUGUACGCUUUCCAUUGCUCGGGGGUCAAAGUUCGUUGCACUGAUUCCCACCAGAAUUCGGCCUCAUCAACGAGUUGGAACAAUUGCGCAUGUGAGUUUCUCCCUAUCCCCACAGCCAACAUGGUUAAGUAUCCUUUCAGUAGCUCUUACCCAUCUUUCGACAUCCAAAUGAUCACCAAGGCCAUCAAAAGUUGGUGGAUUAUGCUUGCGAAACCUCUCUUCCACACUACGUUCUGGUAUAACUCGUGGCACAUGUUCUUCAGGAUUAGGUCCUCUUCCUGUUUCUCCAGCCAUUCUGCAUGUAAUUAACAAUGUUGGGCUUCUUCUUCAUUCUCCUUAAAAAUCUGUGAUACUAAUGACCUAAAAAUCUUUCUAUUGUCUGAAACGAACGUUGGUUGUCUACAAGUCAUCCCUUCAUGUAUCGUGCUUUGAUAUUCUAACUUUCGUAUUCCGACUUUCUAUGUCUUACUCUUCUAUGUUCUACGUUUCUACCGUUCUAUACUUUCUAUGUUCCGUCAUUCUAUGUUCAGUGCUUUCAUUGUUCAGUCUUUUCUACGUUCGAGUCAUUUUAUCUCCAGGGCUUUCUAUGUAUAGUCCUUUCUAUUCUUAAUCUGUUCAUGUCUUCUAAAAUCCGCUGGUCAUAAAAAUAGAAAUCUAAAGACAUCUUUCAUCAGUUCACCAAGCGACUAUAGUCUGUCAUCAUAUCCUUUCUAGGUUCACAACCCAACUAAAACAUGUAAUAACACGCAGUGGUUGAAUCAUCUCAUGGUAAUAGAUUGCAUAUCAUGCAACAUUUCCUCAUUUCAAAACAAGUUGGGCACAUACUUUUGUAUGAUAACAUAUUUGAAUCUCAAAUUCAUGAUCAUAUGCAUGUCUUGUCUCAAUAAAUGUUAAGGUUCCAUACAUGUUGCGUUUCAGUGUACGGACGUCUCCAUACAUGAUCCGCUUCAGUGUAUGUCCAGUCAAAAUUCAUAUCAAUGCAUUCAAUCUCAAACCACAUCCAUUCUUAUUGCGUGUUCAGUCUCAAUUCGUAUAUUCUGUCUCAAUGCAUGUUCAGCCUCAAUGCGUCUAUAGUUUCAAUACAUGCUAUGUUUCAAUGCAUGUUCAGUCUCAAUACAUGUUCCGUCUCAAUACAUGUUUUUGUCUCAGUGCAUGUUCAGUCUCAAUGCGUGUACCGUCUCUAUGCAUGAUCAGUCUCAAUACAUGUUCAUCUCAAUGCAUGUUCAAUCAUAAUGCAUGUUCCAUCUCAAUGCAUAUUCAAUCUUAACAUGUUCGAUAACAUAUUCAUUUGGUGCAUGCAUUUCAGUAAAUAUUUUGAAAACAUGAUUAACAUACCUUAGUUGAGGGCAGUGUGACGACGAGCUGAGGGUUGCUGUAUAAACUUUAAGAAGUCUAGAGAUGUUAUCCUAGACUCGACAUCAAUGAACUUGCGGUCUCAGAGCCAAGAACUUUCGCUCUGAUACCAUCUGUGACAGCCCUCAUUCCCGGGAGAAUAGGAAACGUGCUACUUAAUGGGUAUUUCUAGACUUUGCUAGGAUAAAAUAGGUGAUAUGUCUUUAGAUUUGGGUGACACAUUCAUAAUAAAGGAAUUUCGGAAUUGAAGGAUAAUAAAUACGACAACUUAGAUAGAAAUUCUCCCAACCAGGAUCAAAAGUCCGGAGGUCUGAGACAACAAGAUAACACUUCAAACUAGACAUACAUAUAUGCGAGGUUCAGUUGCUAGAAAUGCGAUUGCCAUCAGAGUUCAUAUUAAUUAGGCUAGGAAUAUUUAAAUAGUUAAUCUCAAAUGAUAUCCACCUUAGUGAAUACUAUGGCAGCGGAAUUUAUUCUUGACAUUCAUUUGGAAAUACAGCAACACCCUCCCUCAGCUUCGCACGUCACCAUCUGCCGCUCAACCUGCAAAAGGUUUUGAAAACAAUUGCAGGGCUGAGUACUAAUAUACUCAGUGGGUUUAGCCAUUUGAAAACAUUUGAAAAAUCCAUUUAAAAGAAUAAUCCAUGCUAUGAACAGUAUAACAUAGAAAUAUUUGAAAGCAUUCUAUGCAUACGUUAAAUAAAUUGUGGAUCCAUUUUUAGUCUUCUCUCUACUGGUGCUUCACCUAUUAUGUGAACUUGUGGGAGCAGCCCACAGAGGUCCACUACCAUGCAUGUUUCAGAAAUGGGAGCAGCCCAAGUCUGACAGUCUGAGGCAAGUGGGAGCAGCCCACAAUACCCCCUUGUGUGUACACAAUCCUAACCAGGGCGAUCCAAUCGCUACGCCGGCUAGGACCCGAUCGUUAGAGAACAUAGGAGCACUUUAAACAAUAGAGAGAUAAAAACAUUUUAACAUGGACAUUCAUUUGCAUUUGCAUAAAAACAAUUUAGAGCUCAAUAACUCAAAACAUACAUUGGAAAAUAAAAACCCACCUUGAUAACAAGCCUGUAGAUAAAUCUUGCACAAUUCUCUUCUUGUAAAAUCAGUGCUAAAGCCUUCUAUCAAGUGGACCUACAAGAUAAUCUAAUCUUAAUAGGCCUCAAAAUAUCGUCUCUGCUAACAUUUCCAUAAAAUUCUUAAAUCCUAGUUCGGUAAUUAAUCGACUUCUCAUUAAACUUAACUAAAUCUCAAUUUCAAAAUACUUAUUGCAAAAGUAUAGCUUUAAACUUUUGAACUCUUUUGCAAACUCAUGCUAUAAUCACAGAUCUAAAAUCUCAUACUUAAUGCAUAAUAAUAUUUAUUAUGCAACUUUGAAUAAAUAAUCAAGCUAAGGCUCAAAUUAAUCAAAAUAAAAUAAAACUUAAGUCCAAAUCUCUUAGUAUGAGCCCAAGUUCAAUCAAAUAAUUCUCAUGCAUCUGGCCCAAUUUUAAAAAAAACUGAAGCCCAAAAAUAAGGGCCCAAUUCAACCCAUCCCUUCCUUUCUUUUUCUCUUUCGGUCUCUCUCUCUCUAUCCCAGCUCUCACUUUCCAUUCCUUCUUUCUCCCUCUGAAAUCUGCAGCCGCCGCCGCCUCUUUCUCCGGCGAGCAGACGCUGCGACGCCGACGCUAUGGCUGUCGCCUCCUUCUCCAUCUCGGCGUCUCUCUCUCCCCCUAACACGCACACACAGAAAUCAGCACACCUAAUCCUCCCCGCUCUCUCUCACAGCCGCCUCCUCCUUUAAUCCGGCAGCUACGGCCGCCGUCGACCACCUCCAUCUCCUUCCGGCACCGCGUCUCACUCUCUCCUCUCUCUGUUCCCCCCCAUUUUGCCUCUCUCUCUCUCUCUCUCUCUCUCUCUCUUUCUUUCUUCUUCUACUAACGACUCCUACUACUACCCUAACUACUAACUACUGCCCCCUCCCAUCUCCUUCUCUUGGCUGGACGGUCAACGGCAAAGGCCCGCACCGCCGCCGACUCCAUCUCGUCUCCCCUCCUCGCUUUCUACUCGCGGUGAGCAGUUACGCGGGCGACAACAAUAGUAACCGCGCCGCCGUGGCGACCACAGCAGCACCGCUGCCUUCGCUUCUCCCUCUCGCUGGGUCAACCGGCAACGGGCUGCCGUUGUCGUUUCCCUUUUUCUCGAUCGGCGAACAACAGCAUCUAACAAGUCGCUGCCGCCAUCUCCGAUUCCCCCUCCCCUGACUCGUCUCCAUUCCCACAACAACACACUCAUGAAAAACAGAUAAGUUCGAUUAAUCUGUAGUCAUUACGUGCACUUGUUUCAAUUCUAUUUACUCUCUAUGACAAUCAUAUAUACAAGAUUCGAUUGUUAUUCGCAUAUGUAAAUUAUCUCUUAUGGGUAAACUGGAGAAUGGUUAUGAAGUAUGCUUUGGCGUAUGAAUAUGAGUGUAUGUUUGAGAAUGGAAGUGAACUGGAGGCAAACCUUUAUGAGAAUUCUGCUAUGAUGUGAAUCUGCAGGGGAAAAAAAAUGUAUUGUAAUCAAGAGCUUUUAUUGAUAACAAGAGGUAAGAUUAUAAAAUCUUGAUAUAAGUGAAAGGUUGGACCUUUAAAGAGGAUUACAACUCUCUUUGCUAUUUUGCAGGAGGUAGCAGAUUUGAGCUGUGAUGAAUUGGUUCGAUAUUUUGCAGAUAUGAGUUGUGUGUUGGGUGAAGAGUUAAGCUGCUUUGUGCGUGAUCGAAUGGGCGAGAAUGGCUGAAAUUUAUAGAGGAAAUUGGCAGGAAGAAGAAGACGUGGAAGACCCAUUUCCAUUGAAUUAAUAGAAGAAGAUAUGUAUCAAUUUCCAUCCAAGUUUCUGCAUUUCUCACCUUAUAAAUAUGUGUAACUGUAGCAAACUCUGCUGCUCAAGUGACUGUUUUCAAUACUUAUGCUUCUUGUAAAAUAUAUAUAUAUAUGCCUCUAAAACGUAGCAAUAGGAUAUGUAUCUGCUUCGGCUGGCUUGAUUGAAAGAAUCGGGCCUUAUAAACAAAAAUAAAUAAAUCCAGUCCAAUAAAGACUUAUAAAUAAUAUUCUAAAUUCAAAUAUUCUCAUGUAAUCUUAUUAAGAAAAAUCGGGGUAUUACAACCCUCCCCCCUUAAAAAAAUUUCGUCCUCGAAAUUUAAAUACCUUGGCUAAUAAACUAGACUUUCAACUCUCGCCUUCUUUUCUCAUGCGUAGUGAUUCUAUAAAAGCUAGAAUAAAUCUACUUGCCCCAUAAAAUUUGAUAUUUCAAUCGAAUAUCCCCAUCAAUCUCUUCUCGUUUCUUAAAUCCCAAAACCCAUCUUGUUUCUUUUUCUAUAGCAUCCAGGGAUAUACUUUUCAUAUAGUCUUUCUUUAAAAUCAUUCCACCUGUACGCUUUCCAUUGCUCGGGGGUCAAAGUUCGUUGCACUGAUUCCCACCAGAAUUCGGCCUCAUCAACGAGUUGGAACAAUUGCGCAUGUGAGUUUCUCCCUAUCCCCC